UACGUAGGGUGCGAGCGUUGUCCGGAAUUAUUGGGCGUAAAGGGCUCGUAGGCGGUUUGUCGCGUCGGGAGUGAAAACACACAGCUUAACUGUGUGCUGGCUUCCGAUACGGGCAGACUAGAGUUCGGUAGGGGAGACUGGAAUUCCUGGUGUAGCGGUGAAAUGCGCAGAUAUCAGGAGGAACACCGGUGGCGAAGGCGGGUCUCUGGGCCGAUACUGACGCUGAGGAGCGAAAGCGUGGGGAGCGAACAGG
rnacentral:rRNA from 1 species